rnacentral:rRNA from 1 species
CCUACGGGGUGCUGCAGUAGGGAAUCUUCCACAAUGUGCGAAAGCCUGAUGGAGCAACUCCGCGUGGGUGAAGAAGGUCUUCGGAUCGUAAAACCCUGUUGUUAGAGAAGAAAGUGCGUGAGAGUAACUGUUCACGUUUCGACGGUAUCUAACCAGAAAGCCACGGCUAACUACGUUCAAGCCGCCGCGGUAAUACGUAGGUGGCAAGCGUUAUCCGGAUUUAUUGGGCGGAAAGGGAACGCAGGCGGUCUUUUAAGUCUGAUGUGAAAGCCUUCGGCUUAACCGGAGUAGUGCAUUGGAAACUGGGGGACUUGAGUGCAGAAGAGGAGGGUGGAACUCCAUGUGUAGCGGUGAAAUGCGUAGAUAGAUGGAAGAACACCAGUGGCGAAGGCGGCUCUCUGGUCUGUAACUGACGCUGAGGUUCGAAAGCGUGGGUAGCAAACAGGAUUAGAUACCCCUGUAGUC